AAUUCGUGAUAUGGGCAUGCUCUCUUUAUCUCCUUAAAUUGCUCAUAUGCUUCGCAGAGUGGUUCUCCGUCUAUCUGCCUAAAACAGGUAAUCUGAUUCCUAAGUU